rnacentral:misc_RNA from 1 species
CGCACAUCGCGCCCUUUGGCAUUCCGAGGGGCAUGCCUGUUCGAGCGUCAUUACACCACUCAAGCCUGGCUUGGUGUUGGGCGCCGCGGCCUGCCCGCGCGCCUCAAAGUCUUUCCGGCUGUGCGACCCGUCUCCAAGCGUUGUGACACACUACAUUCGCGGCGAGCGCGGGGCGACGGCGGCCGUAAAAUCUCCACCACAAGGUUGACCUCGGAUCAGGUAGGGAUACCCGCUGAACUUAA